UUUCCGUAGGUGAACCUGCGGAAGGAUCAUUAUUGUAUAGCCGAGGUGCGAGGGCUGUCGCUGACCCGACAGGUCGUGCACGCCCGAGUGCCCUCACACACAUCCAUCUCACCCCUAUGUGCACCACCGCGUGGGUCCCCCUUUGGCUUGUUCGGAGGGGGGCUUACGUUUUCACACAAACUUUGUAUGCAGUGUAGAAUGUAUUUUUUGUUUUUGCGAUCACGCAAUCAAUACAACUUUCAACAACGGAUCUCUUGGCUCUC
rnacentral:misc_RNA from 1 species